rnacentral:rRNA from 1 species
AUUCCAGCUCCAAUAGUGUAUAUUAAAGUUGUUGCAGUUAAAAAGCUCGUAGUCGGAUUUCGGGGCCUGCCGAGCGGUCUGCCGAUGAGUAUGCACUGUUCGGCGCGUCCUUCUUUCCGGAGACUAAUUCUACUCUUAACUGAGCGGAAUUGGGAGACGGAUCGUUUACUUUGAAAAAAUCAGAGUGUUUCAAGCAGGCAGCUCGCUCUUGCAUGGAUUAGCAUGGGAUAAUGAAAUAGGACUUUGGUGCUAUUUUGUUGGUUUCGAACACCGAAGUAAUGAUUAACAGGGACAGUCAGGGGCACUCGUAUUCCGCCGAGAGAGGUGAAAUUCUCAGACCAGCGGAAGACGAACCACUGCGAAAGCAUUUGCCAGGGAUGUUUUCAUUG